UACGGGGGGUGCGAGCGUUGUCCGGAAUCACUGGGCGUAAAGGGCGCGUAGGCGGCGCGGGCAGUCAACGGUGAAAGCUUGGGGCUCAACCCCGAGUCGGCCGUCGAUACUCCCGGGCUGGAGCACUGUAGAGGCAGGUGGAAUUCCGGGUGUAGCGGUGGAAUGCGUAGAGAUCCGGAAGAACACCGGUGGCGAAGGCGGCCUGCUGGGCAGUAGCUGACGCUGAGGCGCGACAGCGUGGGGAGCAAACAGG
rnacentral:rRNA from 1 species